rnacentral:rRNA from 1 species
AUGGGUUUUACAGGCAAUAGUGGGUACUAUGCUCCUCUGUCAGCCCCUGUCUAUGUUCCUCCACACACUUACAACAGAAUUACAGGACAGUUUAUCAACACUACUACUCCAACCAGUCUAAUGCAGCCACAAGUGUACCAAGCUGCUGGUCAGUUGUAUAAUGCACAAAGAAAUCAACAUGCAACUCAGCUAGGAGGACCUUCCUAUUUUGCUGAAGCUACUUUGAGAGGACCUAGACUGGAAAUUCCACUAUUCAGUGGAGGGGACCCCAUUGGCUGGCUAGUUAAUUGUGAGAAAUUCUUUGAUAUGUCAGGUACACCAUAUGAUCAAUGGGUGAACCUAGCAACUGGUCAUCUGCAAGGCAGGGCAGCAAAUUGGUUAAAGAAUAUUUGUGUUCCUUGGCAAAUGAUUACUUGGCAGCAGUUUUGUAAUUUAGUUGCAGACAGGUUCUCUGAAGCAAAUGUCCAUGAGGCUGUCGAGCCACUGAAAAAUAUUCAGCAAAAGGGCAGCAUAGCAGAUUACACUGACAGUUUUGAACAGUGUGUUGCACUAGUGAAGAGAGACCAUCCCUGUCCGCAGGAAAACUUUCUGCUCAGCUGUUAUAUUGGAGGCCUUAAAGCAGAUAUCAAACAUGAUGUGUGUGGUCACAAACCCAUUGGCAUGAUAGAGGCAUACUGGUACUCCAAGAUCUACGAAAAAGCAGCAGCUGCCAAAAGAACUACCUCUGGACAGUAUAAUCAGCCCUUCAAAAAUAAUUUUCCACUGGCUCCACUCCCACAGCAGGUACAACAGGAAAAACCUAACAAUCCUCUUCCAAAUGCCAAAGCUUGCUGGUACUGUAGAGAGCCUUGGUCUAGACAACAUAAAUGCAAAAUUAGCAAAACACUACACAUAUUGCAAGAAGUAGAAGAUGACACUGAAAUAGAACUUAGUACCGAGGACAUACAAUCUCCUGAGAAAGCCUUUCAUACUGCUCCUAACACACCUGAGCAGGACCAAACUAAGUAG